rnacentral:tRNA from 1 species
CGGGGCGUAGCGCAGUUUGGUAGCGCACCUGCUUUGGGAGCAGGGGGCCGUGGGUUCGAAUCCCGCCGCCCCGACCA